rnacentral:rRNA from 1 species
UACGAAGGGGGCUAGCGUUGCUCGGAAUCACUGGGCGUAAAGCGCACGUAGGCGGCUUGUUAAGUCAGGGGUGAAAUCCUGGAGCUCAACUCCAGAACUGCCUUUGAUACUGGCGAGCUUGAGUUCGGGAGAGGUGAGUGGAACUGCGAGUGUAGAGGUGAAAUUCGUAGAUAUCGCAAGAACACCAGUGGCGAAGGCGGCUCACUGGCCCGAUACUGACGCUGAGGCACGAAAGCGUGGGGAGCAACAGG